rnacentral:rRNA from 1 species
GUUGUAUGGUUAAGUGACUAAGCGUAUACGGUGGAUGCCUAGGCAGUUAGAGGCGAUGAAGGACGUGUAAGUCUGCGAAAAGCUGUGGUGAGCUGACAAAAAGCAUUUGAGCCACAGAUGUCCGAAUGGGGGAACCCACCGCUUCGGCGGUAUCGUUAACUGAAUACAUAGGUUAACGAAGCAAACGAGGGGAACUGAAACAUCUAAGUACCCUUAGGAAAAGAAAUCAACCGAGAUUCCCCAAGUAGCGGCGAGCGAACGGGGAGCAGCCGAGUAAUUAUGAGGUAGUGGAAUGUGUUGGAAAGCACAGCGAUACAGGGUGAUAGCCCCGUACACGAAGCAUCAUAGUUGCCAUAUUAAGUAGGUCGGGACACGUGUUAUCCUGACUGAAGAUGGGGGGACCAUCCUCCAAGGCUAAAUACUCCUAACUGACCGAUAGUGAACUAGUACCGUGAGGGAAAGGCGAAAAGAACCCCUGUGAGGGGAGUGAAAUAGAACCUGAAACCGUAUACGUACAAGCAGUAGGAGCCUGGAUUCUCUUCGGAGAUAGUAGGGUGACUGCGUACCUUUUGUAUAAUGGGUCAGCGACUUAUAUUUAGUAGCAAGGUUAACCGACUAGGGGAGCCGUAGCGAAAGCGAGUGUUAACUGCGCGUUGAGUUGCUAGGUAUAGACCCGAAACCCGGUGAUCUAGCCAUGGGCAGGUUGAAGGUUGAGUAACAUCAACUGGAGGACCGAACCGACUAACGUUGAAAAGUUAGCGGAUGACUUGUGGCUGGGGGUGAAAGGCCAAUCAAACCGGGAGAUAGCUGGUUCUCCCCGAAAUCUAUUUAGGUAGAGCCUCGGACGAACACCAUUGGGGGUAGAGCACUGUUAAGGCUAGGGGGUCAUCCCGACUUACCAACCCUUUGCAAACUCCGAAUACCGAUGAGUGCUAUCCGGGAGACACACGGCGGGUGCUAACGUCCGUCGUGAAGAGGGAAACAACCCAGACCGCCAGCUAAGGUCCCAAAAUAUUGCUAAGUGGGAAACGAGGUGGGAAGGCUAAGACAGCUAGGAGGUUGGCUUAGAAGCAGCCAUCCUUUAAAGAAAGCGUAAUAGCUCACUAGUCGAGUCGGCCUGCGCGGAAGAUGUAACGGGGCUAAGCAAUAUACCGAAGCUGCGGAUUUGAACUUCGGUUCAAGUGGUAGGGGAGCGUUGUGUAAGUGGCUGAAGGUGUUUCGAGAGGAAUGCUGGACAUAUCACAAGUGCGAAUGCUGACAUGAGUAACGAUAAUGGGGGUGAAAAACCCCCACGCCGGAAGACCAAGGUUUCCUGUCCCAUGCUAAUCAGGGCAGGGUAAGUCGGCCCCUAAGGCGAGGCGGAAACGCGUAGUCGAUGGGAAACGGAUUAAUAUUUCCGUACUUGUUAUAUCAGUGAAGGGGGGACGGAGAAGGUUAUGCUAGCUUGGCGUUGGUAGUCCAAGUGAAAGUGCGUAGGGUUGGUGUUUAGGAAAAUCCGGACACCACAUUUAAAAGAUGAGCCUGAGACACGAGACGAGACUCUACGGAGUUGAAGUAGCAAAUACCCUGCUUCCAGGAAAAGCCUCUAAACUUAUGAUAUAGCGAACCGUACCCCAAACCGACACAGGUGGUCAGGUAGAGAAUACUAAGGCGCUUGAGAGAACUCGGGUGAAGGAACUCGGCAAAAUUGUACCGUAACUUCGGGAGAAGGUACGCCCUUGCUUGUGUAGUGCUUCGCGCAUGAAGCAGGUGAGGGCCGCAGUGACCAGGAGGCUGGGACUGUUUAUUAAAAACACAGCACUGUGCUAAAUCGAAAGAUGACGUAUACGGUGUGACACCUGCCCGGUGCCGGAAGGUUAAUUGAUGGGGUUAGCGCAAGCGAAGCUCUUGAUCGAAGCCCCGGUAAACGGCGGCCGUAACUAUAACGGUCCUAAGGUAGCGAAAUUCCUUGUCGGGUAAGUUCCGACCUGCACGAAUGGUGUAACCAUGGCCUCGCUGUCUCCACCCGAGACUCAGUGAAAUUGAAAUUGCAGUGAAGAUGCUGUGUACCCGCACCUAGACGGAAAGACCCCGUGAACCUUUACUAUAGCUUGGCACUGAACAUUGACCCUACAUGUGUAGGAUAGGUGGGAGACUAUGAAGCAUUGUCGCCAGAUGAUGUGGAGUCUACCUUGAAAUACCACCCUUGUACGUUUGAUGUUCUAACAUUGCGCCCUGAUCGGGCGUGUGGACAGUGUCUGGUGGGUAGUUUGACUGGGGCGGUCUCCUCCCAAAGCGUAACGGAGGAGCACGAAGGUUGGCUAAUCCUGGUCGGACAUCAGGAGGUUAGUGCAAUGGCAUAAGCCAGCUUAACUGCGAGACAGACACGUCGAGCAGGUACGAAAGUAGGUCAUAGUGAUCCGGUGGUUCUGAAUGGAAGGGCCAUCGCUCAACGGAUAAAAGGUACUCCGGGGAUAACAGGCUGAUACCGCCCAAGAGUUCAUAUCGACGGCGGUGUUUGGCACCUCGAUGUCGGCUCAUCACAUCCUGGGGCUGAAGUCGGUCCCAAGGGUAUGGCUGUUCGCCAUUUAAAGUGGUACGCGAGCUGGGUUUAGAACGUCGUGAGACAGUUCGGUCCCUAUCUGGUGUGGGCGUUGGAUGAUUGAUGGGAGCUGCUCCUAGUACGAGAGGACCGGAGUGGACGAACCGCUGGUGUUCGGGUUGUCAUGCCAAUGGCAUUGCCCGGUAGCUACGUUCGGAAUCGAUAACCGCUGAAAGCAUCUAAGCGGGAAGCGAGCCCAGAGAUGAGUCAUCCCAGACAGUUUAACUGUCCUGAAGGGCUGUUGUAGACUACAACGUUGAUAGGCAGGGUGUGGAAGCGUCGUAAGGCGUUAAGCUAACCUGUACUAAUUGCCCGUGCGGCUUAACCAUACAACACCAAAG